rnacentral:rRNA from 1 species
UUUUGUAUAAUGGGUCAGCGACUUAUAUUCUGUAGCAAGGUUAACCGAAUAGGGGAGCCGAAGGGAAACCGAGUCUUAACUGGGCGUUAAGUUGCAGGGUAUAGACCCGAAACCCGGUGAUCUAGCCAUGGGCAGGUUGAAGGUUGGGUAACACUAACUGGAGGACCGAACCGACUAAUGUUGAAAAAUUAGCGGAUGACUUGUGGCUGGGGGUGAAAGGCCAAUCAAACCGGGAGAUAGCUGGUUCUCCCCGAAAGCUAUUUAGGUAGCGCCUCGUGAAUUCAUCUCCGGGGGUAGAGCACUGUUUCGGCAAGGGGGUCAUCCCGACUUACCAACCCGAUGCAAACUGCGAAUACCGGAGAAUGUUAUCACGGGAGACACACGGCGGGUGCUAACGUCCGUCGUGAAGAGGGAAACAACCCAGACCGCCAGCUAAGGUCCCAAAGUCAUGGUUAAGUGGGAAACGAUGUGGGAAGGCCCAGACAGCCAGGAUGUUGGCUUAGAAGCAGCCAUCAUUUAAAGAAAGCGUAAUAGCUCACUGGUCGAGUCGGCCUGCGCGGAAGAUGUAA